GAGAUAUCCCUUCCAUCUCAAAAAAUUUGUCUUAGAUUUGUCUAAAUAUGGAUGUAUCAAGUCACAUUUAAUAUUAGAUACAUCUAUAUCUAGACAAAUCUAAGACAGGAAUUUUGGGACGAAAAGAGUAAAAC
rfam:Triticum aestivum genome assembly, contig: Triticum_aestivum_CS42_TGACv1_scaffold_226651_3B